rnacentral:rRNA from 1 species
GAUGAACGCUGGCGGCGUGCCUAAUACAUGCAAGUCGAGCGAACAGACGAGGAGCUUGCUCCUUCGACGUUAGCGGCGGACGGGUGAGUAACACGUAGGUAACCUACCUAUAAGACUGGGAUAACUUCGGGAAACCGGAGCUAAUACCGGAUAAUAUUUCGAACCGCAUGGUUCGAUAGUGAAAGAUGGCUUUGCUAUCACUUAUAGAUGGACCUGCGCCGUAUUAGCUAGUUGGUAAGGUAACGGCUUACCAAGGCAACGAUACGUAGCCGACCUGAGAGGGUGAUCGGCCACACCGGAACUGAGACACGGUUCAGACUCCUACGGGAGGCAGCAGUAGGGAAUCUUCCGCCAUGGGCGAAAGCCUGACGGAGCCACGCCCCGUGAGUGAUUAAGGUUUUCGGAUCGUAAAACUCUGUUAUUAGGGAAGAACAAACCUGUAAGUAACUGUGCACGUCUUGACGGUACCUAAUCAGAAAGCCACGGCUAACUACGUG